UACGAAGGGGGCUAGCGUUGCUCGGAAUCACUGGGCGUAAAGGGCGCGUAGGCGGCGUUUUUAAGUCGGGGGUGAAAGCCUGUGGCUCAACCACAGAAUUGCCUUCGAUACUGGGACGCUUGAGUGUGGUAGAGGUUGGUGGAACUGCGAGUGUAGAGGUGAAAAUUCGUAGAUAUCCGAAAGAACACCGGUGGCGAAGGCGGUGGUCUGGGCCUGAACUGACGCUGAGGAGCGAAAGCCAGGGGAGCAAACGGG
rnacentral:rRNA from 1 species